UUGUAGGCGGUUGGGAUUGGUAUCGUGGGAUUUGUAUCCUGGACGCUGUCAUCGCUUCCCAAUAACACAGAGUUCCUCUCCGUAGCCUUCGCGUUUUUGUACAUCAUCUUGUUCCUGGGUCUCGUCAUUGCAGCCACAGGUUUAUUAGGAUGUCUUGGGGGAAUGUCCCGGAGUAUCUGUCUACUCAAAUGUUACUCUGGAUUUAUGGUGGCUUUCAUUUUCAUUGAGGUUGCCAUAGCGAUUGGUGCGUACACACAGCAGGAUCAGAUCCCUUCAUUAAUCACUUCUACAUGGCCAAAGCUGAACAAUGACACUAAGUUUACUCUACAGGCGGGG